CCGGCACGGGUGAGUAACACGUAUCCAACCUGCCGUCUACUCUUGGACAGCCUUCUGAAAGGAAGAUUAAUACAAGAUGGCAUCAUGAGUCCGCAUGUUCACAUGAUUAAAGGUAUUCCGGUAGACGAUGGGGAUGCGUUCCAUUAGAUAGUAGGCGGGGUAACGGCCCACCUAGUCUUCGAUGGAUAGGGGUUCUGAGAGGAAGGUCCCCCACAUUGGAACUGAGACACGGUCCAAACUCCUACGGGAGGCAGCAUG
rnacentral:rRNA from 1 species